CAGCAGCCGCGGUAAUACGUAGGGUGCAAGCGUUAAUCGGAAUUACUGGGCGUAAAGCGUGCGCAGGCGGUUAUAUAAGACAGAUGUGAAAUCCCCGGGCUCAACCUGGGAACUGCAUUUGUGACUGUAUAGCUAGAGUACGGCAGAGGGGGAUGGAAUUCCGCGUGUAGCAGUGAAAUGCGUAGAUAUGCGGAGGAACACCGAUAGCGAAGGCAAUCCCCUGGGCCUGUACUGACGCUCAUGCACGAAAGCGUGGGGAGCAAACAGGAUUAGAUACCCCUGUAGUCCCUGUCUCUUAUAC
rnacentral:rRNA from 1 species